rnacentral:tRNA from 1 species
UGUUGCAUAGCUCAGUGGUUAGAGCGUCGGGCUUACAAUCAUAAGGUAGUGAGUUCGAUUCCUGGAACAG